GAUCAAGCGACUAAGCGCAUAUGGUGGAUGCCUUGGCAGUCAGAGGCGAUGAAGGACGCGGUAACCUGCGAUAAGCCUCGGGGAGUUGGUAACAGACGAUGAUCCGGGGAUUUCCGAAUGGGGGAACCCAGCCCUCUUUGAGGGUUAUCCUCGCUUGAAUACAUAGAGCGAGGAGGCAAACCCGGGGAACUGAAACAUCUAAGUACCCGGAGGAAAAGAAAUCAACCGAGAUUCCCUAAGUAGUGGCGAGCGAACGGGGAACAGCCCUGAAUUUUUGGGCGUUUUAGCAGAGCGGUCUGGAAAGGCCGGCCAUAGACGGUGAUAGCCCGGUACGCGAAAAGGCGCCCAGAAGGAUGAUGAGUAGGUCGGGACACGUGAAAUCCUGAUUGAAUAUGGGGGGACCACCCUCCAAGGCUAAAUACUCCUGACUGACCGAUAGUGAACCAGUACCGUGAGGGAAAGGCGAAAAGUACCCCUGGAGGGGAGUGAAAUAGAUCCUGAAACCGUAUGCGUACAAGCAGUCGGAGGCUCGUUUUUAACGGGCUGACGGCGUACCUUUUGUAUAAUGGGUCAGCGACUUAUUCUCAGUAGCAAGCUUAACCGUUUAGGGGAGGCGUAGGGAAACCGAGUCUGAAUAGGGCGAAAUCAGUUGCUGGGGAUAGACCCGAAACCGAGUGAUCUAGCCAUGGCCAGGGUGAAGGUGGGGUAACACCUACUGGAGGCCCGAACCCACCUAUGUUGAAAAAUGGGGGGAUGAGCUGUGGUUAGGGGUGAAAGGCCAAUCAAACUCGGAGAUAGCUGGUUCUCUUCGAAAGCUAUUUAGGUAGCACCUCGUGUAUUACUUCUGGGGGUAGAGCACUGUUUCGGCUAGGGGGUCUCACCGAUCUACCAAACCGAUGCAAACUCCGAAUACCAGAAAGUACGAGCACGGGAGCCAGACAGCGGGUGCUAACGUCCGUUGUCGAGAGGGAAACAACCCAGACCGUCGGCUAAGGUCCCCAAUAGUUGCUAAGUGUGAAACGCUGUGGGAGGGCACAGACAGCCAGGAGGUUGGCUUAGAAGCAGCCAUCCUUUAAAGAAAGCGUAACAGCUCACUGGUCGAGUCAGCCUGCGCGGAAGAUGUAACGGGGCUAAGCAACUAACCGAAGCCACGGACAUUGGCUUUUGCCAAUGUGGUAGGAGAGCGUUCUGUAANNNNNNNNNNNNNNNNNNNNNNNNNNNNNNNNNNNNNNNNNNNNNNNNNNNNNNNNNNNNNNNNNNNNNNNNNNNNNNNNNNNNNNNNNNNNNNNNNNNNACGUAUAGGGUGUGACGCCUGCCCGGUGCCGGAAGGUUAAUUGAUGGGGUUAGCUCACGCGAAGCUCCGGAUCGAAGCCCCGGUAAACGGCGGCCGUAACUAUAACGGUCCUAAGGUAGCGAAAUUCCUUGUCGGGUAAGUUCCGACCCGCACGAAUGGCGUAACGAUGGCCAUACUGUCUCCACCUGAGACUCAGUGAAAUUGAAUUCGCUGUUAAGAUGCAGUGUACCCGCAGCUAGACGGAUAGACCCCGUGAACCUUUACUACAGCUUCACACUGGAUUUUGAAUCAGUUUGUGCAGGAUAGGUGGGAGACUUUGAAGCUAGGACGCCAGUCCUAGUGGAGUCAACCUUGAGAUACCACCCUGAUUGAUUUAGGAUUCUAACUUAGGCCCGUUACCCGGGUUGAGGACAGUGUGUGGUGGGUAGUUUGACUGGGGCGGUCUCCUCCCAAAGAGUAACGGAGGAGCGCGAAGGUACCCUCGGCACGGUCGGACAUCGUGCUAUGAGUGCAAAGGCAUAAGGGUGCUUGACUGCGAGACUGACAAGUCGAGCAGGUGCGAAAGCAGGUCUUAGUGAUCCGGCGGUUCUGUGUGGAAGGACCGUCGCUCAACGGAUAAAAGGUACUCCGGGGAUAACAGGCUGAUACCGCCCAAGAGUUCAUAUCGACGGCGGUGUUUGGCACCUCGAUGUCGGCUCAUCACAUCCUGGGGCUGGAGCAGGUCCCAAGGGUAUGGCUGUUCGCCAUUUAAAGUGGUACGCGAGCUGGGUUUAGAACGUCGUGAGACAGUUCGGUCCCUAUCUGCUGUGGGCGUUGGAAAUUUGAGAGAAGCUGCCACUAGUACGAGAGGACCGUGGUGGACGAACCUCUGGUGUUCCGGUUGUCAAGACCAUGGCAUUGCCGGGUAGCUAUGUUCGGACGGGAUAACCGCUGAAAGCAUCUAAGCGGGAAGCCUUUCUCAAGAUUAGAUUUCCCUGGGCCCUUGAGGCCCCUGAAGAGCCGUUGAAGACGACGACGUUGAUAGGCAGGAUGUGUAAGCGCGGUAACGUGUUGAGCUAACCUGUACUAAUUGCUCGUGAGGCUUGAUCUU
rnacentral:rRNA from 1 species